CCCUCUGCUGCGGCAUCUACAAACAUCCUCGUUUCCCGGUGGAGGCUGCUGGCCGGGCAGGCCUGGGCACCCGGGUCCUGUUUCCCACCGCGUGCCGGCGCCAGGCGCUGGUCCCCGGGGAGUUCUGUCCCCUUGUUUGUUCCAGGCGCUAAACUGGAGCUACUUUCUGUGAAUCAAAUGUAAGGUUCUCUUGGGUGCUUCGCAGGCACCUCCCAGCCAGCGGGUCCCCCGAGGGGCCUUUUCUCCUUGUAACCAAGCCCGUCGCAGCCCCAAGGCCCCAACGGGCACGAGCUGGGCGGCCCUCCGACCCAGGCCUCGGGGGCGGAUCCGUCCACCUGCUGGUCCUUCUCUUCUCUGGUUCCCUGCCCGGACCCGAGCGUUUCCUUUCAGAACUCGGUCGACGCCGCGAAGCCCCUGCUGCGGAAGGCAAUCCAGAUCUCCCAGCAGACGCCGUACUGGCACUGCCGCCUGCUCUUCCAGCUGGCGCAGCUGCACACGCUGCUGGUGAGCGCGGCGCCCGCCUCCGCCCGCGCGCGCGUCUGGAAGGCUCCCGGGGCCGGGGUGCGGGCG
rnacentral:lncRNA from 1 species